AUUGAACGCUGGCGGCAUGCUUUACACAUGCAAGUCGAGCGGGCUUAGGGGCUUGCUCCUAAGUUAGUGGCGAACGGGUGAGUAAUGCAUCGGAACGUACCGUGUAGUGGGGGAUAACCCGGCGAAAGUCGGAUUAAUACCGCAUACGAUCUAAGGAUGAAAGCAGGGGAUCGAAAGACCUUGCGCUAUACGAGCGGCGGAUGUCGGAUUAGCUAGUUGGUAGGGUAAAGGCCUACCAAGGCAACGAGCCGUAGCGGGUCUGAGAGGAUGAUCCGCCACACUGGGACUGAGACACGGCCCAGACUCCUACGGGAGGCAGCAGUGGGGAAUUUUGGACAAUGGGCGAAAGCCUGAUCCAGCCAUGCCGCGUGAGUGAAGAAGGCCUUCGGGUUGUAAAGCUCUUUUGUCCGGGAGCAAAUCCUGUUCACUAAUACUGAGCGGGGCUGAGAGUACCGGAAGAAUAAGCACCGGCUAACUACGUGCCAGCCGCCGCCGUAAGAC
rnacentral:rRNA from 1 species